rnacentral:rRNA from 1 species
CAGUCGCCGCGGUAAUACGUAGGGUGCGAGCGUUAAUCGGAAUUACUGGGCGUAAAGCGUGCGCAGGCGGUUGUGCAAGACAGAUGUGAAAUCCCCGAGCUUAACUUGGGAACUGCAUUUGUGACUGCACGGCUAGAGUGUGUCAGAGGGGGGUAGAAUUCCACGUGUAGCAGUGAAAUGCGUAGAUAUGUGGAGGAAUACCGAUGGCGAAGGCAGCCCCCUGGGAUAACACUGACGCUCAUGCACGAAAGCGUGGGGAGCAAACAGGAUUAGAUACCCGAGUAGUCCCUGUCUCUUAUAC